ensembl:lncRNA
GAAAAAGUCUGUCACGCAGUCAUCGUGAAGGAGGUGUGGCCUCUGUGUCACUCAGUCAUAGUGAAGGAGGUGUGGCCUCUGUGUCACUCAGUCAUAGUGAAGGAGGUGUGGCCUCGGUAUCGGUUAGUCAUAAAGGAGGCGUGGCCUGUCAGUUAGUCCCAGGUCUAGUGAAGGAGGCGUGGCCCCUGUACCAAUCUCAAAAGAAGAAAUACAAACACCGAUUGAUUAUGAGAGAUAAAACAAACAGCAGCAUACCAGAACAGAGACCCGAGAACACUUCUCUCCACCAGUCUGUGGAAGUGUAAGGUGGCCAUGAUGAAGGCGAUCACCCACGUGCCCUACAGCCAAGCAUAAAGACAAAUACACUAAACACAGAGACAUGAUAAAGAGCAGAGCAGGAAGUUACACUAUUUUAUUGUAACUUUAAAUCAUGGCCGUACUCUCCAUACUCCCACAGUGAUCCCUUCAUCAAACUGGAACAGUUUCACCAGCCUGUCCGUCCCGAUAUGCCUCCAUUUGUCAACCCGUCUCACCAGCGUUUUACAGAUCAGAGAGCGCCACCGCGGCCUGGACCAGACACAAACACAUCUUCACUAACUUCCAAUGGCAUUUAACUCUGUUUUCCCAUUAGGGAAAAGCCUCCUGUAGUAGAUUUAUACUAGUCGUGACUAAAGGAGGUUGCUCACUUGGCUGGCGUGGUCGUGGGGGAACCCAGGACUCCGUGGAGCUGCAUGCUAAUGACGUUGUGAAUUUUCGGAAACACGCCGUCGCUCCAGCACACGGUUACGGACGAGUCGGAGAAAAACGCCUGAGAAUGCUCGGACAUGCUCUGCUUCCCUCGCCUAUAGAUCAGCGUGAUCUCCCAGACAACACGCAGACUCCUGCAGUGCACACACCACCUCUAAUUCAUAAUAAAUUAUACUCGCACAAUUCCUUUCUUAGUGUUCUUAGUGUCAUAGAUUCAAUCAUUCAGUUUUCAGAUGUUCAGUCACUCAAGUUUGCAAAUUUCACUGCAGAGACCCCCCUCAUAUAAACACCUCGUAUAAACACAGGAAUAACAGUCAGAGAAACGUAAAGGACAAGUUACAUGUCAACGCACUGACAAACGCAAACAUAUCGGCUCGAGUGAGGAGAAGAAUUAAGCCUGGAAACACACUCAAAACACACUAUAAAACACCAUUUGUGGUCAAUAUUAAAUAUAUACAUAUGAUUUGUUAAUAAUAUUAUCCCUUUAAAGUCAAAGAAACAUGUAUGACCUGAGGACCUGCUCGGUUUGCUGCGGCAUGCCCGUGCUCAGGUUCACGUGUCUCAGCUCCUUCUUCCACACCGCAUCGCUAUGGCAGCCCAUUUUUCUGAACAGCAGCCUCUUCCACACCGCCGCCGGGACAUCCUGCACGUCGGCGCUCACAGAGUCUGGCGUCUCGCACAACCUCGGCCUCCACUUCCUCCUGCCCAUCUCAUAGGAGUAUAACUCGUACCACAUCAUGCUGCGGGACACACACCACAGGGUUUAAAACAUCACGCUAUCUUUCCAUCCUCCAUCAAAUUGAUCUCCACGCGAACCCAAUAUCUCAAGAAAGAAACGGAAAUUUAGCGCUGAUGUUGAAAAAAAACAUCACUGACUUGUCAUCCGCCAGAUCUCGAAACUGUCGGUUAACAAAGCCGAC